rnacentral:rRNA from 1 species
UACGUAGGUCCCGAGCGUUAUCCGGAUUUAUUGGGUUUAAAGGGUGCGUAGGCGGAUUAUUAAGUCAGUGGUGAAAGCCUUCAGCUUAACUGAAGAACUGCCAUUGAUACUGAUGAUCUUGAGUAUGAUUGAGGUGGGCGGAAUGUGUCAUGUAGCGGUGAAAUGCUUAGAUAUGACACAGAACACCGAUUGCGAAGGCAGCUCACUAAGCCAUAACUGACGCUGAUGCACGAAAGCGUGGGGAGCAAACAGG